GCCAAGCCGUCCUCACACACUCACAGCCACACUGAUCGGAAUUAAGCCGUAUUUCAGCUCCAUUGAGAUCACCAAGAUGGUUAGCGUUCGUGUUCUCCUGCUGCUGUUGGUGACCUUCGUCGCUCUAGCCACUGUAUGUGAUGCCCUGGUGCCGUGCCCAUCGUUCCCCAGCUGCUGCAGGAAAAGAAACUGUCAUGCUCUCUGUCCUUCCUGUAAAGAAGCCAGACACUUCCAAAGAGGAGUGAGGAAACGCCCUGUUAGCAGGUGUAACAUCAUUGGCAACUUCAUCAAUGUGGAUCCCUUCAGCAACCCCAACAGCCCCAUCUUCCCAGCUCCGCCCAUCAUCUGCAGAUAAGACAGUGGAGGAACUGUUCUAAUCCAAGUAUCACUGAGCAAUUGCCCUCAAGGUCGAGGCCCGGCAGAGAACCCGGCACCCUGACUGGGUUCCGUUGCUGGUCAGUCAGUGCCUGCAGCAAGCUGUGUCAACUCAGUGAUGGGCGACGCUCCACGGAUCAUUAGUCUCAAGACAAUGCUAAGUGGACGUGGAAGCCGGCGCAGUUACAGCCCUCGGCGAAAUUGUGUUGCUGCCUCAAGACCAUCCUCGGUGAGCGUGAGUGGCAAGACCACAACGCAAAAGACCUGAGUCCUUACCCAAGACCAACGGUGAUCCUGUGUGCUGAAAGUGUUACAAAGUCGAGUGAAAAAUCUUCAGAUUGUCUCCGACUGGUGACAAAAGCCGACAGUUUUUGGCUGUUUAGUGAGUUGAGUCACGAGACGAGAGAAGUCGCCCAGUGCGAGUCUUUCGUGUGGCCCUUAUCAGUGUGUUCCUGACAGUGUUGAGCUGUGAGUAGACCUACGAGUCUGUCUCCAGCUGACAGUGUUGAGCUGUGAGUAGACCUACGAGUCUGUCUCCAACUGCCAGUGCAAAGCUGUGAGUAGACCUAUGAGUCUGUCUCCAGCUGCCAGUGCAGAGCUGUGAGUAGACCUACGAGUCUGUCUCCAGCUGCCAGUGCAGAGCUGUGAGUAGACCUACGAGUCUGUCUCCAGCUGGUUCUUCCAAAUCAUUCAUAUGAAUGUUUUUAACUGUGAUUACUCUUUUAUUUCAUCAAGGCAUUAUUUUACCUCAAGAUUUAACACUAAUAUUUCUAGAUUUAUUGUGCAAGUUUGUGCAUUAAAUAUAUAUUAUUUAUAUCGAA